rnacentral:rRNA from 1 species
GUGGGGAAUUUUGGACAAUGGGGGCAACCCUGAUCCAGCAAUGCCGCGUGUGUGAAGAAGGCCUUCGGGUUGUAAAGCACUUUUGUCCGGAAAGAAAUCGCACUUACUAAUAUUAGGUGUGGAUGACGGUACCGGAAGAAUAAGGACCGGCUAACUACGUGCCAGCAGCCGCGGUAAUACGUAGGGUCCAAGCGUUAAUCGGAAUUACUGGGCGUAAAGCGUGCGCAGGCGGUUGUGCAAGACCGAUGUGAAAUCCCCGGGCUUAACCUGGGAAUUGCAUUGGUGACUGCACGGCUAGAGUGUGUCAGAGGGGGGUAGAAUUCCACGUGUAGCAGUGAAAUGCGUAGAGAUGUGGAGGAAUACCGAUGGCGAAGGCAGCCCCCUGGGAUAACACUGACGCUCAUGCACGAAAGCGUGGGGAGCAAACAGGAUUAGAAACCCCUGUAGUCC